rnacentral:rRNA from 1 species
CGGACGUAGGUAACCUGCCUGGUAGCGGGGGAUAACUAUUGGAAACGAUAGCUAAUACCGCAUAAGAGUAGAUGUUGCAUGACAUUUACUUAAAAGGUGCAAUUGCAUCACUACCAGAUGGACCUGCGUUAUAUUAGCUAGUUGGUGGGGUAACGGCUCACCAAGGCGACGAUACAUAGCCGACCUGAGAGGGUGAUCGGCCACACUGGGACUGAGACACGGCCCAG